GAUGAACGCUAGCGAUAGGCUUAACACAUGCAAGUCGAGGGGCAGCACAAGGUAGCUUGCUAUCUGGGUGGCGACCGGCGCACGGGUGCGUAACGCGUAUGCAACUUGCCCUAUACAGGAGGAUAACCCGUCGAAAGACGGACUAAUACUGCGUAUGCUCACAACUUGGCAUCAAGUGGUGAGGAAAGAAAUUCGGUAUAGGAUAGGCAUGCGUCCCAUUAGCUUGUUGGUGAGGUAACGGCUCACCAAGGCAACGAUGGGUAGGGGAACUGAGAGGUUUAUCCCCCACACUGGUACUGAGACCCGGACCAGACUCCUACGGGAGGCAGCAGUGAGGAAUAUUGGCCAAUGGGCGCGAGCCUGAACCAGCCAAGUCGCGUGAAGGAUGACUGUCUUAUGGAUUGUAAACUUCUUUUAUACGGGAAUAACAAGAGUCACGUGUGACUCCCUGCAUGUACCGUAUGAAUAAGCAUCGGCUAACUCCGUG
rnacentral:rRNA from 1 species